GUGUACAUGUCACCUAUAGUCUCGCUUGGUUGCAUUCGAAAAAGCUCAAAAUCAUACAAUAAAAUGUUAACUUUCGAGUCUUUGACUCUACUAGUUCCCUCGUGCGUGAUUUCAAGUGUUCGCCAAAUGUCAAAAGUCGUUUCGCACGUAAAAAUCCGAUUGAACUCAUUUUUGUCCAAAGCGCAAAAUAAGGCAUUCAUAGCCUUUGCGUUUAAAGAAAAAUACUUCUUCUCCAAAU
rnacentral:lncRNA from 1 species